rnacentral:rRNA from 1 species
GCGUCCGGGAGAAACUGCUAACUUGGGAGCGGGGGAGGUUGGAGGUACUCCAGGGGUAGAGGUGAAAUUCUGUAAUCCUUGGGGGACCACCAGUGGCGAAGGCGUCCAACCAAAACGCGUCCGACGGUGAGGGACGAAAGCCAGGGGCACGAACCGGAUUAGAUACCCGGGUAGUCCUGGCCGUAAACGAUGCGGGCUAGGUGUCACAAUGGCUGCGCGCCACUGUGGUGCCGUAGAGAAAUCGCGAAGCCUGCCGCUUGGGAAGUACGGCCGCAAGGCUGAAACUUGAAGGAAUUGGCGGGGGAGCACUACAACGGGUGGAGCCUGCGGUUUAAUUGGAUUCAACGCCGGGAAGCUUACCGGGUGCGACAGCUGGAUGAAGGCCANGCUAAAGACCUUGCUGGACUAGCUGAGAGGAGGUGCAUGGCCGUCGUCAGUUCGUACUGUGAAGCGUCCUGUUUAGUCAGGCAACGAACGAGAUCCAC